rnacentral:rRNA from 1 species
UACAGAGGUCCCAAGCGUUUGUUCGGAUUCAUUGGGCGUAAAGGGUGCGUAGGCGGCGCGGUAAGUCGGGUGUGAAAUCUCGGAGCUUAACUCCGAAACUGCAUUCGAUACUGCCGUGCUUGAGGACUGGAGAGGAGACUGGAAUUUACGGUGUAGCGGUGAAAUGCGUAGAUAUCAAGAGGAACACCUGCGGCGAAGGCGGGUUGCUGGGCUGACACUGACGCUGAAGCGCGAAAGCCAGGGGAGCGAACGGG